GCUAUAAACCUAGCCCAACUAAACACGAAUACUUUUAACAAACUGACUUCUUUUAACAAACCAUUUUAAUAUUCUAGUAAAGGAGAUUGAAAAACCCGUUGGAGCUAUAACAACAGUACCGCAAGGGAACAGUGAAAUAACAAAUGAAAAUCUUAAGCAUUAAAAAGUAAAGAUUACCCCCUGUACCUUUUGCAUCAUGGUUUAACUAGUCCAAUCAAGCAAAACGUAUUUAAGUUUGACCCCCCGAAACUAAGUGAGCUACUUCAGGGCAGCUAAAAGAGCGAACCCGUCUCUGUAGCAAAAGAGUGGGACGACCCUCAAGUAGUGGUGACAGACCUAACGAACUUAGUGAUAGCUGGUUACUCAAGAAAUGGAUAUAAGUCCAACCUGAACCACGUGACCCCAAGUUUACCAAAACAGCCCCCAUCUUUCAGCGUAAUUCAAAUAAGGUACAGCCUAUUUGAAACAGGACACAACCUAGACUAGCGGAUAAGACUAGCCUAAAGAACAAUCAAGUCGGCCUAAAAGCAGCCAUCUUUAAAAUUGCGUCAAAGCUUAAUUGUCAUCACGCCCAAUUACCUAAUUAUCAUCUUAAUCCCCAAUCAAUACUGAGUAAUUCUAUAACGCUAUAGAAAAUUUUAUGUUAAAACUAGUAACAAGAAGAAGACCCUUCUCUUAAAUGUUAGUGUUAAUCAGAGGGGACUAACCGCUGAUACUUAACAUUCUUGAACUUAAAGUAGCAACUAACCAAGAAAACCCUACCCAGAUCAAUGUCAACCUAACACAAGCACAUUUUAAGAAAGAUUAAAAGAAAAAGAAGGAACUCGGCAAAUGUUAACCCCGCCUGUUUACCAAAAACAUCGCCUCUUGAACCCAAUAAGAGGUCCAGCCUGCCCAGUGACUCUGUUCAACGGCCGCGGUAUCCUAACCGUGCGAAGGUAGCGUAAUCAUUUGUUCUUUAAAUGAGGACUAGUAUGAAUGGCACCACGAAGGUUAUACUGUCUCCUUUUUUUAAUCAGUGAAACUAAUCUCCCCGUGAAGAAGCGGGGAUAAAACUAUAAGACGAGAAGACCCUAUGGAGCUUUAAACAACAUAGCACUUACCUCACAACACAAAUUCUUAAAUUAAACUCCUUAGGUAACAUGACUACAAGUUUUUGGUUGGGGUGACCACGGAGCAUAGUAUAACCUCCACGUUGAAGAAAUUCUAUUUUAAGCUAAGACUCACUCAUCUAAGCAUCAAUAUCUUGACAUCCAUUGACCCAAUACUUUUGAGCAACGAACCAAGUUACCCUAGGGAUAACAGCGCAAUCCACUUUAAGAGCCCCUAUCGACAAGUGGGUUUACGACCUCGAUGUUGGAUCAGGGUCUCCAAGUGGUGCAGCCGCUACUA
rnacentral:rRNA from 1 species